AUUAGGGCGAUAUAUGUAUAGAGACUUUUAUAUUGACACAUUCAGAAAGAAUAGGACCUUUUAUUUUGAUACCGUUUCCUGUAUUUUCCUUACCACUUCCUGCCUUGUCAUCAGUUACUUCACAUUUAGUUCCUAUCUGCUGAAAACGGUUUCUACUUAAAUAAUUCCUCUCUGUGAACGAUGCUAGAAGCAAAGUCUUUUCACUCUGCCAUGUAAUGCUGGAUCUUCAAGUAAACAACAGUGAAAUGUUAA